AGUCGUAACAAGGUCUCCGUAGGUGAACCUGCGGAGGGAUCAUUACCGAGUGCAGGCCUCCGCGCCAACCUCCCAACCUUUGUCGAUUAAUACCUGUUGCCUCGGGGGGCGACCCGGACGUCGCGCCGGGAGCCCCCCGGAGGUCCAACCGAACACACUGCGUCCUUGCGUCGGAGUAUGAAAACAAUCAUCAAAACUUUCACAACGGAUCUUGGUUCUGGCAUCGAUGAAGAACGCAGCGAAAUGCGAUAAGUAAUGUGAAUUGCAGAAUUCAGUGAAUCAUCGAAUCUUUGAACGCACAUUGCGCCCCCUGGCAUUCCGGGGGGCAUGCCCGUUCGAGGGUCAUUACACCACUCAAGCCUGGCUUGGUAUUGGGCGGCGGGGACCCCCCCGCGCCUCCAUGUGUCCGGCUGGACGGUCUGAAUCUCAGCGUUGUGAAUCAAUUCGCUGCGGGGACGACCGGACGCGCCGUUAAAACGUUUCAUCACAGGUUGACCUCGGAAUCGGGUAGGGAUACCCGCUGAACUUA
rnacentral:rRNA from 1 species